rnacentral:lncRNA from 1 species
GACUUCCUCUGCUUCCCAAGUGCUGGGAUUAAAGACAUGCACCACCAGCAUCUUACUGUAUCUUAGACUAGUCUCAAGCUCACUAUGUACAGCCCAGUCUUACUUGUUUCUCUUGCCUUACUUAGCCUUUUAGACGCCAGGAUUGCAGGCUUGUGCCACGAACUUCAGCUUAUUUAUUUUUAUAGCUUCCAAAUAAGAACACUGACUUAUUUGUUGUGGUAGUCAGUGUAUUCUUACUGGCAUAACAGGAAUAUCACGGUUGUAUACGCAGGUUCUUUGUAGAAGUGAACAGGCAGUUCUCAUAAAUCAUCAGAUUCUCCUCAGGUUAGAAAGAUAUUAAUGAUUUAUUUCAAAUAUCAGAUUAGUAAACUGUUAACUACAGUUAAUGUUUUGCUCUGGCCAAAAAAAAAAAAAAAAAAAAACCUGCAUUAAUGUUUUACACUGGUGGCCCAUGGGGACAGUUUAAUUUUUAGUAUCCACCAAAAUUGUUUCUUUUAAAAAGGUCAAUUCAAAUAUGGUAGUGCAUGCUAUAAUUGUAAUUAGUGUUUGAUAGCUAAGUAGGUGAGUUAGGAGUUCAAGGCCAUCCUUGAGUAUACAAUGAGUUUGAGGUUAGCCUGCAGUACAUAAGACUAUCUCUGCAAAAUGCAUCUCCCUCUGCACGUGGGUUAGUUUGACACCAUUCACUGUUUUUGUUUUGUUUCACUGGGUUUCCUUCUCUUAGAUUAGUAACUUUAAGUAUUCUGCCUAACUGGAAUGCCUGCUCCCUCCUCCUCCUCCUCUCCCCCAGUUGAACACCUGACACACACACUGGGGAUAUCAGGGAACAGGGUCUGUUGCCUGGAAUGGUACUUUUGAGAGAGUAAAGCGAAUGGGCUGUGAUAGAGGAAUUGGCUGUAGGGAAUAGGAGCGUGCAGGCUUUUAAUGGCUGGUUGUGUAACCUCACAAGAUGACCUUUGAGGAAAGAUCUGAAGGAGUGGUGAGAAUCAGUAGGGCCAUGUUGGCAUUAGCUCAUCGGUCUAGAAAGUAGUGGGGUACUGAUGAUGAGAGUCUGUACAGGUUUCUUUACACUACUCAGGUUGAUUUUAAAAUACUUUUUUGUUGUGUUUUUGAGACAGGGACUGUCUUUGUAGUUUUGGCUAUCCUGGAGACCAGGACUAUAUAGACUAUGUUGGCCUUGAACGUAAGAGAUCCUCUUGCCACUACUGGGUCGUAUGUAUCUUCAGUACCUUAAAUAUAGGAAUGAAUUUGCUUCUAGGAUUUUGAGACAUUGAUAAAAUAUGCUAUCUAGUUUUACUUUGCUGGUUUCAAUGAUCUUCAGGAAGCAAUUGAUAGUGCAUUUAUGGUGGUUGAAAUUUUUUAAUUUUUUAAAAAUACAAUUUAAAAGGUGGUUUGAAGAUGAAGCAUUAAUGUUUUUCCUCACUUUCCCUACUAUGGGGAUAACCACAAUCCUGUCAUACUGUGAUGUGUCUCUCUCCCAUGUCUAGCAGAACACGGCCCUUUUUGUGUUAGAACAAAAUUUGCUUUAUUCAGUAUUCCUGUUAGAAGUCAGUAGUGCCAGGUUAAGUGUGGUGACAGACACUUGUAAUACCAGUCUUGAAAAAGCUAAUGUAGGAAGAUUCAAGUUGGAGGUCAGCCUGUCCAGCAACAACAGGCUAGAGAGGGCUGGAGAGACGGCUUAGUGGCUGCACUUGCUGUACUUGUAGAAGAUGUGGAUUUAGUUCCCAGAACCUUUAUCAGGCGGCUCAAGCCAUCUGUAACACCAAUUCUGGGGUGGUUUGACACCUUUUUGGAUUCUGUAGACACUGGCACACGUGAUGUGCAUAUACAUAUUCUCCGGCACACACACAAAC